rnacentral:tRNA from 3 species
CGGAACGUGGCGCAGCCCGGUAGCGCACUACUUUGGGGUAGUAGGGGUCGCGGGUUCAAAUCCCGCCGUUCCGACCA